UGGGGGAUCGUCCAGUGGUAGGACAUCGGUUUUUGGCACCGCUAACCGUGGUUCGAGUCCACGUCCCCCAG
rnacentral:tRNA from 1 species